CAGCCGCCGCGGUAAUACGUAGGUGGCAAGCGUUGUCCGGAAUUAUUGGGCGUAAAGGGCUCGCAGGCGGUUUCUUAAGUCUGAUGUGAAAGCCCCGGCUCAACCGGGGAGUGUCAUUGGAAACUGGGAAACUUGAGUGCAGAAGAGGAGAGUGGAAUUCCACGUGUAGCGGUGAAAUGCGUAGAGAUGUGGAGGAACACCAGUGGCGAAGGCGACUCUCUGGUCUGUAACUGACGCUGAGGAGCAAAGCGUGGGGAGCGAACAGGAUUAGAUACCCCAGUAGUCCCUGUCUCUUAUACAA
rnacentral:rRNA from 1 species